UACGUAGGGUGCAAGCGUUGUCCGGAAUUAUUGGGCGUAAAGAGCUCGUAGGCGGUCUGUUGCGUCGGCUGUGAAAACCCGGGGCUCAACCCCGGGCCUGCAGCCGAUACGGGCAGACUAGAGUUUGGCAGGGGAGACUGGAAUUCCUGGUGUAGCGGUGAAAUGCGCAGAUAUCAGGAGGAACACCGGUGGCGAAGGCGGGUCUCUGGGCCGAUACUGACGCUGAGGAGCGAAAGCGUGGGGAGCGAACAGG
rnacentral:rRNA from 1 species